rnacentral:lncRNA from 1 species
CUGAUAAAUACUCCCUAUUUUUAUGUUUGCGGGGAUAAUUCUAAGUUGUGUUCUACAUAGUAAUUCUCCAUAGCUACUGGAGAGUCCCUAGUGGAAUAGAGCUGCAGUUUUUCACUGCACUAACCAGAUCCACAUUCACCCCUAGAUUGUCUUUCUCUCUUCGUUUUUACACUUUCCAGUCACUCACUCUUAAUCUUUGGGAAAUAAACUCUUGUACCUAAGUGCCUGUCGCAGGUUUUGCUUUUUAGAUGGGCACAAAGCUAAGACUUCCUCUAAUCCUGAUUUUCUUAACCAGCCCACUUGAUUCACACAGUUUACCUUCUUGGCUCUGCAGGCAUUUGCAGUUGUGACCCUGUCCUAGAGAUCAUGGUUAGGGACUCACUCCAGGUAUUCUCUGCCAUGACCACCUGAGCAAGUCCUCCGAUGCUCCAGGCAAUAUUAAAGCCCUUUGCUAGUGCUGUUUCCUUGCUUUAAACCCCACUCCUGAGCCCUACACCAAUUCCCUGUUAACUUCCUUUCAUCAGCAAAUUCCUCCUCAGCCUUCAAGGCCAGGUUCAGUUUAGAUUCCUCUAUGGACCUUUCUGUAACUCUUCCACAAUUGAGCAUCUUUAAAGACUAAGGAGAAAGAGCCAGAAGAGGCAGAGAGUGCAGAGAGGAAGAAGACACUGAUGGAGUCCACUCUUUGGAGAUGAUGGGAAUAGCUUUUAUUGGUACAGAUGCAGGUGUCUACCUCCAAAAGAAGAAAGGUUCUUCCUUCUUCUCUGAGAAGAGGAUCUUGUCCACAGAGCCUGUGAUACUGGGGACUUAUAAAGUAUACUGACAAGGUGGUCUUUGAUCAAAGGUAGGCACAUACAAUGACUGAAUUUUAAAACUGUAAAUUAUUCUCCAAAGACUGUAAUAAUAGUAAAGAAACUUUCAGCUAAAGUGAUCAUUGUGUAAGAAUAUUCCUAGGCUGUCAGAAUUUUUUCUGUCAGGCAGGACUAGGGUCAGGACUUAAAGGCUGUGUUUGAAUUAUAUCUGUUCCCAUCAUAAUAAGAAACCAAAUAUAACUUUCAUAGUUAUGAUUUGGGACAUAUAAAAGAUACUCACUUAGACAUCAAAGUUAAUGUGCCUAGUAGUUAUAUUCCCAAAAGGACAGAGUUGACAAAAUACUUUAUCCAAAAGAAAUGGAGUUUUGGAAAUAGACUUGUGUAUCCAGAUCAGAGAGAGUAAUGGUUUCUCUGGAGCUUGAAUUAGCAGGAUGCAAUUUGGAGUCCA